rnacentral:rRNA from 1 species
ACGACCAUAGGGUGUGGAAAACAGGGCUUCCCGUUCGCUCAGCCGUACUUAAGCCACACGCCGGCCGGUUAGUAGUUGGGUGGGUGACCACCAGCGAAUCCCGGCUGUUGUAUGUU